rnacentral:rRNA from 1 species
CCUACGGGAGGCAGCAGUGGGGGAUAUUGCACAAUGGGGGGAACCCUGAUGCAGCGACGCCGCGUGGGUGAAGAAGCGCCUCGGCGCGUAAAGCGCUGUCAGCAGGGAAGACAAUGACGGUACCUGAAGAAGAAGCCCCGGCUAACUACGUGCCAGCAGCCGCGGUAAAACGUAGGGGGCAAGCGUUAUCCGGCUUUACUGGGUGGAAAGGGGGCGCAGACGGCGAUGCAAGCCAGGAGGGAAAGCCCGGGGGCCAACCCCGGGACUGCUCUUGGAACUGCGUGGCUGGAGUGCAGGAGGGGCAGGCGGAAUGCCUGGUGUAGCGGUGAAAUGCGUAGAUAUCAGGAGGAACACCGGUGGCGAAGGCGGCCUGCUGGACUGCAACUGACGUUGAGGCCCGAAAGCGUGGGGAGCAAACAGGAUUAGAUCCCCCUUGUAGUC